rnacentral:lncRNA from 1 species
UUUUUUUUAAAAAGUUUCUUGGAUCUAAUUCUGAUUGACAUGAUGAAAUGCAAUAUGAAAUGCUAAAUGAAUGCAUGAAUGAGGAGGGCAAAUUUUGGGGUGUUACACCAAGCAAACACAUCUGAAUACUCUCGAAGAAGAUCAAUCAACCCCUUCUUAACAUUUGGACAUUGUCGAGACCCAAUCUUGACUUCCUUCACAUCAUCCUCGGAACCCAAGUUGACUAACUCAA